rnacentral:misc_RNA from 1 species
GCAGACACAAAUCAGAUUUGAUUCCGCAACCUUGACAGUAACGUCUGCAUGCUAUCAAGUUUCUCGUAGAGUUGUUUAAUAGUUGCAACAUGUAAUGACGAAUCUGAACUACUGAGUUCAAUCAUGAGAGAAGUGCAUUUAGAUUGGGAAUCGAGAACAGCCUGCUCCAGAGAAGUCACUGUGGAUUCUACAGUUGGACGCG